rnacentral:lncRNA from 1 species
ACAUGUCAGUACUUUUUUUGACACAGUAAACCAGCUACACAGUUAUGAGUGGAUCCCACAGACAUGCUGGAUUCAUAGAGGUACAGAAAGAGUUGCAUCCCGAUAAACCAUGUAUCGAGCUAGAAAGAUCCAUGGAUGACCGUUGGAGUUCAACAUCAGAGUCAGAUUAUUGCCACACUUCCAAUGACAUCAUGCAGUGUGGAGAGACUUUUCUCAACAACAACUAGGAUAAAAAAUCAUCUUCGCACAUCAAUGACAAGCGCCCGGCUGAACCGCUUGAGCGUGAACUGACAGAUACAUUGGAUUAUGAUGAAAUCAUCACCAUAUUCAACUCAAAGCCUCGCCGCCUGCGCCUUGUGAUGUAGGUCACGCCUUAUGAUUCGUCUGUCACGUCCUGACCAGUAUAGGGGUUAUUUGUGAUUGUAGUUUGGUCAGGACGUGGCAGAGGGUAUUUGUUUUAUGUGGUUCGGGGUGGUGGUUUGUUUAGAAGGGUGUUUGAUUUAUUAUUUCCGGGUUAUGUUCUAUGUUCUAUGUUUUUGUAUUUCUAUGUUCUUUCUAGUUUAGUAUUUUCUAUGUUAGGUAAUUGGGUGUUGGACUCUCAAUUGAAGGCAGGUGUUUGUAGUUGCCUUUGAUUGAGAGUCCUAUAUAUAGGGAUGUGUUUUGUUUUGUUAAUUGUGGGUAGUUGUCUUUAGCACUGCUGUAGUAAGUAUAGCCUGUUAAACUGUCUUCUUUAGAUUUUCUCGCGUUCACAUUUAUUUAAUAAAUUAAUAUGAUGAGCACGCAACCCGCUGCGCCUUGGUCCUCUCUUCACGACGACAGCCGUUACAGAACUACCCACCAAAAAUGGACCAAGCAGCGGAGAAAUGAGCAAAGGGAAUUACGGGUGGACUAUAGGAAGCAGCGCGCUCGGGAGGAGAUGGCAUCCUGGUCGCUGGAGGUAUUGGAGUCUAGAAUUGACUGGACAUGAUAACAAUUAUUGGACCAAUGUGAUAACCUGCCUGGGAGGCAGGUAGAGCACGAGAGGCAGCCCCAAUAAAUUUUUUGGGGGGGGCACACGGGUAGUUUGGCUGGGCGAGGAUUAAGUCCCAAGCCAAAUCCCCGUGUUUUUUCCAAACAACCAUUGACUGGACAGGUCCUGUGCUUUGGGGUGAUGGGUGCUGUGACGAGGCCGGGUAUUUUCAGGCUGGUAUGUGCAGUACCAGCGCCCCGCAUGUGCCAGGGGAAAGUGGGCAUCCAGCCAGUAGGGGUGACGCCAGUCCUGCGCUUGAGACCGCCAGUGUGCCUCUACGGUUCAGUGUUUCCCGCUACACGCACUAGCCUUGAGGUGCGUGUCUCCAGGCUGGCACGUCCAGUACCAGCACCACGCAUCAAGCUUCCAGUGAGUCAGCCCAGUCCAACUCAGCCUGUUCCCGCUCCUCGCACUAGCCCGGAGGUGCGUGUCCCCAGGCUGGUACCUCCACUACCAGCCCCACGCAUCAGGCUUCCAGUGCCUCGUCCAUAGUGUCCGGCAACAGUGCCUCGUCCGGAACCGAGUGAGUCUGUCUACGGUUCGGAGUCAAGAAAGCCUGCCUACAGUCUGGAGGACAGUAGGCCAGAACCUGAGCCAUCUCCAGUAUAGGUGGGUUGGGGGGGG